rnacentral:rRNA from 1 species
AUGGUUCAUACCCUUCGAUACUACUCACAGAUUCAUCAAAACAAGCAAACAACACAUUGGGAUUUCUCCCCGGGCCUUGCGGUCGCGGCUCAGGUGCGUCAAUGAUUCAGCUCUACGGUUCACUUCUCUCCCUCUGGUGCUUGCAAGGAGUUCUUUUUGGUGGUUAGCUUCUCUUCGGCCUCCUUUCCUCUCAAUGAAGAAUCUGUUGCUUUGGCUUUGCAAUGUUCUAUUGGA